rnacentral:Y_RNA from 1 species
GGCCGAUCCAAAGGUAGUGGGUUAUCUCAAUCGAUUGUUCGGUCAGUUACAGAUUGAUCUCGUUCUCUCUUUCCCCCCUUCCCAAUACUGCACUUGACUGGUCUUUG